rnacentral:rRNA from 1 species
CCUACGAGCGGCAGCAGUGGGGGAUAUUGCACAAUGGGGGAAACCCUGAUGCAGCGACGCCGCGUGAGUGAAGAAGUAUUUCGGUAUGUAAAGCUCUAUCAGCAGGGCAGAAAAUGACAGUACCUGACCAAGAAGCCACGGCUAACUACGUGCCAGCAGCCGCGGUAAUACGUAGGGGGCAAGCGGUAUCCGGAGUUACUGGGUGGAAAGGGAGCGUAGACGGUUAUGUAAGUCUGGAGUGAAAGCCCGGGGCACAACCCCGGGACUGCUUUGGAAACUGUGUAACUGGAGUACAGGAGGGGCAGGCGGAAUUCCUGGUGUAGCGGUGAAAUGCGUAGAUAUCAGGAGGAACACCGGCGGCGAAGGCGGCCUGCUGGACUGAAACUGACGUUGAGGCUCGAAAGCGUGGGGAGCAAACAGGAUUAGAUACCCUGGUAGUC